rnacentral:ncRNA from 1 species
GAAUCUGGCGGGGCGGCUUCACGGCCGUCUCGUCAAAAGGCCCUGAAUACUGGUCGCAUGGAAUAAUGGAACAAGACCUCGGUCCCGCGCAUCUCCGCCCUUCGCGGGCGCGCGAAAUCGCCCUCCGGGGCGUUUCCGUGCGCGGGCCGCCGGGCCGCGGGCGCCAGUCGCCCGCGCGUCCCGCCGGGCCGGUUUUCGGGACCGGAGGUAAUGAUCAACAGAGACGGGCGGGGGCAUUCGUACCGAGACGUUAGAGGUGAAAUUCUUGGAUCGUCUCGAGACGAACUGACGCGAAAGCAUUUGCCAAGUACGUUCUCGUAUGAUCAAGAACGAAAGUUAGAGGUUCGAAGGCGAUCAGAUACCGCCCUAGUUCUAACUGUAAACGAUGCCAGCUAGCGAUCCGCCGGCGUUUCAUUAACGACCCGGCGGGCAGCUUCCGGGAAACCGAAGCUUUUCGGUUCCGGGGGAAGUAUGAUUGCAAAGUUGAAACUUAAAGGAAUUGACGGAAGGGCACCACCAGGAGUGGAGCCUGCGGCUUAAUUUGACUCAACACGGGAAACCUCACCAGGCCCGGACACCGGAAAGAUUGACAGAUUGAGAGCUCUUUCUUGAUUCGGUGGGUGGUGGUGCAUGGCCGUUCUUAGUUGAUGGAGCGAUCUGUCUGGUUAAUUCCGAUAACGAACGAGACUCUGUCCUGCUAACUAGGCGGGUAAACCCGGGUCGGCGUGUGCGCGGCGCUGGCGGUUUCGGCCGUCAGUGUUCGCGUACCCGUCGGCUCGGCCCGGUAUCCCCGAACGCGUUCGCCCGUCGUCCACGGCGGUCGUCGGGCGCGGCCGCGCCAUCCGCGUCCCGGCGUUCGGCGGGCGUAUGUCGGCCGGGGGGCAACCUCCGGUCGGCCUGCGUUCCGUCGUGCGUCGGGCUCCGUGGUGAAA